rnacentral:rRNA from 1 species
AAUCAACGCUGGCGGCGUGCCUCAGACAUGCAAGUCGAACGAUUAAAGCUCCCUUCGGGGAGUGCAUAGAGUGGCGCACGGGUGAGUAACACGUAAGUAAUCUACCCUCGGGUGGGGAAUAACGUUCGGAAACGGACGCUAAUACCGCAUAAUGCAGCGGCACCGCAAGGUGACAGUUGUUAAAGAUUUAUUGCCUGGGGAGGAGCUUGCGGCAGAUUAGCUUGUUGGUAAGGAACGGCUUACCAAGGCUACGAUCUGUAUCCGGUCUAAGAGGACGGUCGGACACACUGACACUGAAUAACGGGUCAGACUCCUACGGGAGGCAGCAGUCGGGAAUUUUGGGCAAUGGGGGAAACCCUGACCCAGCAACGCCGCGUGAAGGAUGAAGUAUUUCGGUAUGUAAACUUCGAAAGAAUAGGAAGAAUUAAUGACGGUACUAUUUAUAAGGUCCGGCUAACUACGUGCCAGCAGCCGCAGUAAU